rnacentral:rRNA from 1 species
UAGCAUUACUAGUAUUAGAGGCAAUGCCUGCCCAGUGACAUCAGUUUAACGGCCGCGGUAUUCUGACCGUGCAAAGGUAGCAUAAUCACUUGUUCUCCAARUAAGGACUUGUAUGAAUGGCCACACGAGGGUUUUACUGUCUCUUACUUCCAAUCAGUGAAAUUGACCUUCCCGUGAAGAGGCGGGAAUAAAAAAAUAAGACGAGAAGACCCUAUGGAGCUUCAAUUAAUUAAUCCAAAARUUACCCAAUUUAAUCACAAAGAGAUAACAUAAAACUUUAACAUGGAUUAACAAUUUCGGUUGGGGUGACCUCGGAGUAUAAAAAACCCUCCGAGUGAUUCUAAUCUAGACAAAYUAGUCAAAAUUACUACAAAUAUCACUUAUUGAUCCAAAACCUUGAUCAACGGAACAAGUUACCCUAGGGAUAACAGCGCAAUCCUAUUCUAGAGUUCCUAUCGACAAUAGGGUUUACGACCUCGAUGUUGGAUYAGGACACCCAAAUGGUGCAACCGCUAUUAAAGGUUCGUUUGUUCARCGAUUAAAGUCCU